rnacentral:rRNA from 1 species
GACGAACGCUGGCGGCGUGCUUAACACAUGCAAGUCGAACGGUGAAGCGCCUUCCUUUUUGGUGGGUGUGGAUGAGUGGCGAACGGGUGAGUAACACGUGAGUAACCUGCCCCCUUCUUCUGGAUAACCGCAUGAAAGUGUGGCUAAUACGGGAUAUUCUGGGUCUGUCGCAUGAUGGGUCUGGGAAAGAUAUUGUUUCGGUGGGGGAUGGGCUCGCGGCCUAUCAGCUUGUUGGUGGGGUGAUGGCCUACCAAGGCGGUGACGGGUAGCCGGCCUGAGAGGGUGGACGGUCACACGGGGACGGAGACACGGCCCAGACUCCUACGGGAGGCAGCAGUGGGGAAUAGUGCACAAUGGGCGCAAGCCUGAUGCAGCGACGCCGCGUGAGGGAUGGAGGCCUUCGGGUUGUGAACCUCUUUCGCCAGUGAAGCAGGCCUGCCUCGUUUGUGGGUGGGUUGACGGUAGCUGGAUAAGAAGCGCCGGCUAACUACGUG